rnacentral:rRNA from 1 species
CUGCAUGGUUGUCGUCAGCUCGUGCCGUGAGGUGUCGGGUUAAGUCCCAUACGAGCGCAACCCUACCUUUAGUGCCAUCAGGUAAUGCUGGGGACUCUAAAGGAACUGCCUACGCAAGUAGUGAGGAAGCGGGGAUGACGUCAAAUCAGCACGGCCCUUACGUCCAGGGCUACACACGUGCUACAAUGGCCGAUACAGAGGGCAGCUACCUGGUGACAGGAUGCAAAUCUCCAAAGUCGGUCUCAGUUCGGAUCGGAGUCUGCAACCCGACUCCGUGAAGUUGGAUUCGCUAGUAAUCGCGCAUCAGCCAUGGCGCGGUGAAUACGUUCCCGGGCCUU